rnacentral:rRNA from 1 species
ACACUCCUACGGGAGGCAGCAGUGGGGAAUAUUGCACAAUGGGCGCAAGCCUGAUGCAGCCAUGCCGCGUGUAUGAAGAAGGCCUUCGGGUUGUAAAGUACUUUCAGCGGGGAGGAAGGCGAUAAGGUUAAUAACCUUGUUGAUUGACGUUACCCGCAGAAGAAGCACCGGCUAACUCCGUGCCAGCAGCCGCGGUAAUACGGAGGGUGCAAGCGUUAAUCGGAAUUACUGGGCGUAAAGCGCACGCAGGCGGUCUGUCAAGUCGGAUGUGAAAUCCCCGGGCUCAACCUGGGAACUGCAUUCGAAACUGGCAGGCUAGAGUCUUGUAGAGGGGGGUAGAAUUCCAGGUGUAGCGGUGAAAUGCGUAGAGAUCUGGAGGAAUACCGGUGGCGAAGGCGGCCCCCUGGACAAAGACUGACGCUCAGGUGCGAAAGCGUGGGGAGCAAACAGGAUUAGAUACCCGUGUAGUCCCA